rnacentral:pre_miRNA from 1 species
CCUGCACCGUAGCAGCACGUAAAUAUUGGAGUGUGAACUCUGCGAUUCCAGUAUUUCGUGCUGCUGCUGUGCGGU